UAUGACUCCUUGAGAUGUCUCAGGAACUGU
rnacentral:piRNA from 1 species